AUCGCUUACGUUACAGCCAUUGCAGCCAUUUCCCCGCCUACAAUUACCGCCAAAAAAAAAUAAAAAAUCCGACCCUCUGACGAUCGCCGCCCGGGCCCCGAAUAAUCGCGUUUUCUUCUCCCGUCAAUAAUUUAUUCGCGAGGAGAAAAUACGGAAUAAAUUAGAUAUUUGCCCGGUUUUGGCGGCGGCGGCGCCGGGCGGAGAAGUUUCCCCUUCACAGUCAUCGUAGCAGCAGCAGCUGCCGCCCCUGUGUCGUCGCCAUGAGUAAGAUGGCCGCCGUGCAGGAGGAGGCGGCGGCCGUGGUGGUGGCGGAGGAGAGCUGAGCGCACGGCGGGACAAGACAUUCAUCAUGAACUUAACUUGAUACUACUGCAUCACGUCAUAUGCUUAAGAGAAGUAACCUUUAAGACACUGUUUGGAACAUCAGAAGACAUUACCGACUGGUGUCUCAUUGGAUUCACACUUGAAUUUUUUUUUUUUUCACUUUAUAAAAAGCACUAUGGCAAGUAAACGGAAAACAAAAACUCCUUGCAUGGUUCUUGCAAGCGAGCUUGAUCAUGAUCUAGGAGUCAAUUCUGAUGGGGAGGAGUGUCCAACUCUGCCUACUCCGGUGGAGCAGCCUGUGCCUGAGAGCACAGUACCUGAGAACCUAUCCAGCGAAGAUGAUGCACUAGAACCCAACGAUUCAGACAAUCAGCAGAAUAAAGUGGUAGAAGGUGGUUACGAAUGUAAAUACUGUUCAUUUCAGACAACUGACUUAAAUAUGUUUACCUUUCAUGUGGAUUCUGAGCAUCCCACUGUUGUAUUAAAUUCUUCCUAUUUUUGCGUAGAGUGUAAUUUUCUCACCAAACGGUAUGAUUCACUUUCCGAGCACAACACGAAAUACCAUCCUGGAGAGGAUAACUUUAAACUAACUAUGGUCAAACGCAACAAUCAGUCAAUCUUUGAACAAACCGUCAACGAUCUAACAUUUGACGGGAGUUUUGUCCAAGAAGAAAACCAGGAACAAUCUGAGUCAAACUCAAAUUCUGCAAUAUCAAUCAGUAAAACCCCAAUAAUGAAAAUAAUGAAGGAUAAAUCGGAGAAGAAACGUAUCAGUGUACAACAAAAUACAUCUGAAGAUGGCACUGAAGAAAAUGACCAGGUAACAGAGAAUGAGCCUAAGCCAAAAUCACAAGAGAACAGAGAUUUAAAGCAGACUGUAGUGGUUCCUGAGCCUGUGAAAACAAGCGCUACGGUUGUGACAAGUGUGCAGGAAUUGCCAAGUACUGUUAUUACCCCUGCUAAUGUUCUUCAGCCAGGAGUGGCGCAAGUGAUCACAACUGUGCAGGCACAGCAAAACAUCCUCUCAAAAGUCUUAAUCCCCCUCAAUAGCAUUCCUACAUACAAUACAGCAAUGGACAGCAACCCUCUUUUGUUAAGUAACUACAACAAAUUUCCAUACCCAACAGUUUCCGAGAUAACGCUUCUCGCUUCACAAACUAAAUGCACAGAAGAGCAAAUUAAAAUCUGGUUUUCUGCACAACGACUAAAGCAUGGUGUAAGCUGGACACCUGAAGAAGUAGAGGAUGCCCGGAGAAGACAAUUUAAUGGCACUGUGCACACGGUCCCACAGACCAUAACUGUUUUUCCAGCUCAGAUUUCCUCAGCUGCCAAUGGUUUGCCUUCCAUUUUACAGACGUGCCAAAUAGUUGGCCAACCUAGCCUUGUACUUGCGCAAGUCGGAGGAACGAGCACAAUACCUGUGACGACCCCAAUAGCAUUAACUGUUGCUGGGGUCCCAAGUAAUGCCCAGCUCCACGCAAGCCAACUUCCACAUACCCAAGCGGUGUCCGAAACAAAGAAAGUUGCUGCGGUCCCAAGUGCACAGCUUCCCAAGCAGGAGCCUACUAUGUUAACAGACCUGUUCGGUAUGCGUUCAAAAAAAACUAAAGAACAGUUGACAGCCUUGAAAAUUAGCUACCUAAAGAACCCAUUUCCAAGUAAUAGUGAAAUUGACCGGUUAAUAAGGUUCACAGGAUUGACGAAAGGUGAGAUCAAGAAAUGGUUUAGUGAUACGAGAUACAACCAAAGAAAUUCCAAGGGGAGCCAUGGCAUCCAUUUCCCAAGUGAUAGUGGAACGAUAAUUAUUGAUUCUAGUGAUGAAACUGCAGAAUCCCCAACUCCUCCUGUCAUAACACCGCAACGUAGGCAAAGCUGGAAUGCCUUUCCCGCUUUUACCCCACAGAGAUUCAAAGAAAAGACAGUGGAACAGCUGCAAAUCCUUGAGGAAAGCUAUCUCCAAAACAAUGUACCGACAGACGAAGAGCUAAACAGGUUAAGGGUUCUUAGCAAACUGACAAGACGAGAAAUUGAUGCCUGGUUUGCCGAAAGAAGGCGAUCAAGUGGUGUCAAGGAUGAACCUGCAAUUUUUAAUGACGAUGAAGGAAUUAAGGAAGAGAUGGACCCUGAAAAUGCUUAUGUAAAAGCUGGGGCAGCUCUUGCUAGUAAGCUAGUGAAAAAGACCCCGGAUCAACUACAUAAGCUCAAAAGCUUCUUUGUUCGUAAUCAGUGGCCUAAUGGAGCAGACUAUGAUAAACUCGCAGAGGAGACAGGUCUUGCAAGAAGUGAUGUUGUUGGGUGGUUUGGAGACACCAGGUAUGCUGUUAAGAACCAUCAUUUGAAGUGGUUCUACCAAUAUCAAGUGAAUGGCAAUCUCUCCCCUAACGCUGUUAAUGGACAGGGCUUUGUACGAAAGAGAGGGCGAGGAAGGCCCAGGGGUAGAGGACGAGGGAGACCUAGAGGUCGCCCGAAAGGAUCACGAAAAGCAAAUAACUGGGAAUGGGCACCACCUCCUCCUGUAAAACCCAAGAUUGGGAAAGCGGUACUUAAAGACUACUACUUAUUGCACAAAUAUCUUAAUGAAGAAGACUUGGAUGAAUUGGUUGCAAAAUCUCAGAUGGGUUAUGAGCAGGUGAGAGAAUGGUUUUCAGAACGCCUACAGAGAGAGGAUGCUGGCCUGGAUCCUUUUGAAAUUGAGGAUGAAGAGGAUCUAUUGGAUGAUCAGGAGGAAGAGGAAGAAAUUGACACUGAUGAGAGUGAUAACUGGGAACCACCAAAACAUAUUAAACGGAGACUUUCAAAAAUGGAAGACUGACAUCAGGGGUCUAAAACUGGCGGCCCUCCAGAUGUUGCAAAACUUCAACUCCUUUUCCUUAAAAGGAAUAUAAUGUCAGCGGAGAAUAGAACGGUGUUGCGGUGUCCAGUUUACUGUGAAAUGCAUGGAGAUCCUCUCUUGUGAAAACCACAGCGGGGUGGAGGAGCGGUGACGAGCUUUGCCUGAACGGAGAAGUCGAUCUGCAUGCUGUGCCAAAGUAGUCACACUGCAGACAGAGGACUUGACUGUAUAUACAGAAUACGUGAUGUGGGCAGCACAUAACAACUUGUACAAUUCAGAAGAUUUUAAUACAUUUUUACUGACCUGUAUUUUUGUUUCUUCCCUUUUUUUUUUUUCUCUUUGCCUUCUUUUCCUUUGUAGACCUUUAUUUUGUGUGGGAGAGGGAGGCUUGGAAUGGAAGAGAACGCAGUGACCACUAUUGUUUUUCCCUUACCUUUUGCUACAUACAUAUAGUUGGCUGUCUGUGGGGGUUUUUGUGUUCUUUUUGUUUCGGGUUUUUUAUUUUUUUUAUUUCCUUCAUGUAAAAAGCUUUUUUUAGCUUUUGAGUGACCAAACAUUUUUUUCCUUAACAGCAUCAAUAGAUUUAUUCGGUGAUUUGUAUUUUCCGCUCCUCUUUCGAUAUUCGCAUUAUCAUACCAUACAAUCUAUACUUACACAUCACACAAGUAGUGCAGAUAUAAAAGGUUUUUAUUUUGUUUUCAGGUGAAAUACUAUAUUUUGGUGUUCUCCUUUGUAUUUUAUUGCCGUCUGUGGGGUUGCCAAGUAUAAUUGUUUUGCAGAGAAACAAAAAAAGUUUUUUUUUUUUUUUUUUUUU